AGUGUGCCUCUUCCAGCUGUGUGGCAGACCCCACCAGCUGUGUUAACACUUCAUGAUGUUUUCAGAAGCUCCCAGUUCCAGGGCUGAGGAGUCCUGAGAGAGUGAGAGAGACGGAAACUUCUACAAUAGGAUCUUUUUGGAUGUGUCAAGUGGAUACUGCAGCUGUCUUGACCUUCCCUUCCAUUUCCUGGGCAGGCAACAGCAUCGUAUCUGUUUGUCCUCCUGAGGAACAAGGCAAGAUAAAGAAGAUGCAGGGUGAUAGGGUUGAAGCAACAGGAUGAGAGAUCUCAAGCAUGCUGCUAAAUAUUGUGGUCUGACAAAACUACAUGGCUUCCUUUAUCAAGACAGCUGUGUUUUUACGUAAACAAUCUUAAUUUGGCCUGCAGAAGAAUCACGCCUGAUACUCAAAUGUACUACCUUGGAAGGUCACCUUGACUUCCCCAAGGAGCUUGCUUCAAGGCAUUCAGAAUGCCAGACCAGAAAACCUCACAGACUGAGAAAAAUGUUCUGAAAGAACUUUUUGAAGCCAUGGUUGAUAUUCCAGACAUGAAAUGCCAAAAUCAAGAUUUCCACAGCAACAAAUAUGAUGACUUUCAGCAGAAGAAUAACCGGUUCUGGUCACUGUUCUACUUCUCAUGAAAGGGACACAGCAAGACGUAGAGAGAUGUCUGGCCUAACACCUGAAUCCACCCCAUACAGAAAUAUGAAAACAUGAGGCAUGCUGACUUCAGCUCCCAUGAAGUAUUGUCUUGACAUUGAAAUAAAUCUGUUUUUCAUUUGAAAA